AUUGAACGCUGGCGGCAUGCCUUACACAUGCAAGUCGAACGGAUUUUGGGGCUUGCUCCAAAGUUAGUGGCGAACGGGUGAGUAAAGCAUCGGAACGUACCCAGUCGUGGGGGAUAACGUAGCGAAAGUUACGCUAAUACCGCAUACGAUCUGAGGAUGAGAGCGGGGGACCUGCGGGCCUCGCGCGAUUGGACCGGCCGAUGUCGGAUUAGCUAGUUGGUGAGGUAAAGGCUCACCAAGGCGACGAUCCGUAGCUGGUCUGAGAGGACGACCAGCCACACUGGGACUGAGACACGGCCCAGACUCCUACGGGAGGCAGCAGUGGGGAAUUUUGGACAAUGGGCGAAAGCCUGAUCCAGCCAUGCCGCGUGAGUGAAGAAGGCCUUCGGGUUGUAAAGCUCUUUCAGACGGAAAGAAAUCUCUCGGGUGAAUAUCCCGGGAGGAUGACGGUACCGUAAGAAGAAGCACCGGCUAACUACGUGCCAGCCGCCGCAGUAA
rnacentral:rRNA from 1 species